rnacentral:rRNA from 1 species
CAGCCGCCGCGGGAAUACGUAGGGCGCAAGCGUUGUCCGGAAUUAUUGGGCGUAAAGAGCUCGUAGGCGGUCUGUCGCGUCUGGUGUGAAAUCCCGAGGCUCAACCUCGGGCUUGCAUCGGGUACGGGCAGACUAGAGUGCGGUAGGGGAGACUGGAAUUCCUGGUGUAGCGGUGGAAUGCGCAGAUAUCAGGAGGAACACCGAUGGCGAAGGCAGGUCUCUGGGCCGCAACUGACGCUGAGGAGCGAAAGCAUGGGGAGCGAACAGGAUUAGAUACCCCUGUAGUCCAUGUCUCUUAUAC